UUUUCGUAAUUUAAAUUAAUU
rnacentral:piRNA from 1 species